UACAGAGGUCUCAAGCGUUGUUCGGAUUUAUUGGGCGUAAAGGGCGCGUAGGCGGCGGGGUAAGUCGGGUGUGAAAUCUCAGGGCUCAACCCUGAAACUGCACUUGAUACUGCUCUGCUUGAGGACUGGAGAGGAGACUGGAAUUCACGGUGUAGCAGUGAAAUGCGUAGAUAUCGUGAGGAAGACCAGUGGCGAAGGCGGGUCUCUGGACAGUUCCUGACGCUGAGGCGCGAAGGCCAGGGGAGCAACGGG
rnacentral:rRNA from 1 species